rnacentral:rRNA from 1 species
AGUGGCGAACGGGUGAGUAAUGUAUCGGAACGUACCUUUCAGGGGGGGAUAACGUAGCGAAAGUUACGCUAAUACCGCAUAUUCUGUGAGCAGGAAAGCAGGGGAUCGAAAGACCUUGCGCUGAUUGAGCGGCCGAUAUCAGAUUAGCUAGUUGGUGGGGUAAAGGCCUACCAAGGCGACGAUCUGUAGCGGGUCUGAGAGGAUGAUCCGCCACACUGGAACUGAGACACGGUCCAGACUCCUACGGGAGGCAGCAGUGGGGAAUUUUGGACAAUGGGGGCAACCCUGAUCCAGCCAUGCCGCGUGAGUGAAGAAGGCCUUCGGGUUGUAAAGCUCUUUCGGCCGGGAAGAAAUCGCAUAGGCUAAUACCCUGUGUGGAUGACGGUACCGGAAUAAGAAGCACCGGCUAACUACGUGCCAGCAGCCGCGGUAAUACGUAGGGUGCGAGCGUUAAUCGGAAUUACUGGGCGUAAAGCGUGCGCAGGCGGUUUCGUAAGACAGAGGUGAAAUCCCCGGGCUCAACCUGGGAACUGCCUUUGUGACUGCGAGGCUAGAGUACGGAGAAGGGGGGGGGUGGAAUUCCACGGGGUAGCAGUGAAAUGCGUAGAGAAAUGGGGGAGGAACACGGAAUGGCGAAGGCAGCUCCUCUGGGCCGAUACUGACGCUCAUGCACGAAAGCGUG